ACGUAGGUGGCAAGCGUUGUCCGGAUUUAUUGGGCGUAAAGCGAGCGCAGGCGGAAUGAUAAGUCUGAUGUGAAAGCCCACGGCUCAACCGUGGAACUGCAUCGGAAACUGUCAUUCUUGAGUGCAGAAGAGGAGAGUGGAACUCCAUGUGUAGCGGUGGAAUGCGUAGAUAUAUGGAAGAACACCAGUGGCGAAAGCGGCUCUCUGGUCUGUAACUGACGCUGAGGUUCGAAAGUGUGGGUAGCAAACAGGAUUAGAUACCCUGGUAGUCCACACCGUAAACGAUGAAUGCUAAGUGUUGGAGGGUUUCCGCCCUUCAGUGCUGCAGCUAACGCAAUAAGCAUUCCGCCUGGGGAGUACGACCGCAAGGUUG
rnacentral:rRNA from 1 species